UCCUCGGACAGAUCUACCCUUCUACUCUUCGAAUAUUUUCACCCAUGUCUGAGUGGGCCCACCCGUACUAUAAAUUCCCUUCGGGUGCUCUUAUGAUCCGGAACGGCGGGUCCCACCCGUGCUAUCCUCUCAGCUUUUACCCUCCCGAGGCGCCCUUCGUCGUUUAGCGGACAAGUUUACGCUCUUACCCCUCCCAACCCGACUUCGACACACGUGUCACUCCAAUCCCUGGAGCUAAAGAGAAAAAAAAAAAGCUUAAAAUAAAUCCUAAAAAAUUAAUUCUACGAUACAAACUCGAUCAUGAAAUCAAUCAAUUACGCAUGACGAAUUGAAAAUAAUUAAAUUAUUUCUACGGACAGAAAUAAGUUUUUAAAAUUAUAUUAAACUACGCACCAAAUAUUCGAUGAGAAUUUUCUAGUACCGAUUAUUUUUCCGCCAUAGAAAGCUAAAAAGGAUGAUUCCUAAUUAGGGUCAAAUCAAGACGAGGGGCACACCAGACAUGAUGGUACAUAUGAUGGGCAUGUGCAUGUGCAUGUAGGCCAAUUAAAACAAGCAGUCUAUAUAACCUUGGUUCAAGAGAAAGGGCUGGUCUAUGAUACUUGUGAUGGAAGGCAGGCCGAGAUCAUUGUCCAUUUCUCAUGACAUCUAUAGCUGAGCCAUCAAGAGCUCCAUGGAGGUCUAGCUUUGAACGUGUAUCACUAUAUUGGCACAUAAUUCCCACAUUGGUGUCAUCUUUGACUCCGUCGUGUCUUGAGUCAAAUGCUUAGUCUACGUAACCUCACUGUCUCUAUGGCUUCAUGGAGGUCUAGUGACAUCUAUAGAUACGGACUGCUUGGACUUUUAUGCUUGUUUAGGGGGAUCCUAAUAAACAUGCAUUAUUUGUUAUUUCAAAAAUGUAGCAGCUGUAAAGAAAGAAACUUCAAUUAAACAUCCUUCAACCUUUUUUGUUUUUUGUUUUUUGUGUUUUGAAGAGCAACAUCUAUACUCAGAAUCUCAUGAGAAAAUUACUAACCACACAAUUAGAUGUGUAAUGACAGUAAAACAGGUGCUUUGUAAUAAAGAUUCUAAAUUAUGGUGACUUCAAAAGUUAAUCUAAUAAUAGCAAUUCUCAUGGAUUUACCUGAUUUAUUUAAGUCGUGCAACACCAAACAACGCCUGCUCAUAAAAAAGAGGAAGGAAC
rnacentral:lncRNA from 1 species